AGCAGCCGCCGCGGGAAUACGGAGGGUGCAAGCGUUAAUCGGAAUUACUGGGCGUAAAGCGUGCGUAGGCGGUUCGUUAAGUCUGUUGUGAAAGCCCCGGGCUCAACCCUGGACAGGCGGUGGAAACUACCAAGCUGGAGUACGGUAGGGGCAGAGGGAAUUUCCGGUGUAGCGGUGAAAUGCGUAGAUAUCGGAAGGAACACCUGUGGCGAAAGCGGCUCACUGGACAUUUACUGACGCUGAUGCACGAAAGCUAGGGGAGCAAACAGGAUUAGAUACCCCCGUAGUCCCUGUCUCUUAUAC
rnacentral:rRNA from 1 species